rnacentral:lncRNA from 1 species
UUUUGUUCUCGGGUUCCUGUUCCAUAACUUGAGUCAAGCGCUGCCGGAAACUCGCUGUGCAGUUGGCAUUUAUGGCCAGCAAAAUGGCCACUGCAUUCUCAGAUGAGAUCUCUUCAGCAGUCAAGCCAUCUUGUAUUGGAAAGAAGGUGAAAUCCGGGUGGUUUGAAGGGUUGGGGGAGUUGAACUGGGUGUGAAUAACAGUGAUGGAAAAGCCCUUUGAGUGAAGGAAGGAACCCAGCUGAAGCAUUGGAUAUGUGACCUUGGUAUGGACAUGGGACUAAGACCAACCUGGUACUCUGUGUUUUCUUUUCCAUCUCCAUCCUUCCCUCUUUCUCUUCUCUCUUAGAGAGAGACACACACACCCCCAAAAGGUUACAGUGAUUGGAUUUCUAAAUUUUUGACUGCUUCAUUAAAACCCUUGGGAGUUUUUAUAGAGGAGAGUUAUUAAAAAAAUCCUUUUUUACCUUCUGCAUAAGCCUGUAAAUUCAAGCUCUUGAUUAUUCUUUUAUUUAUUCAGUACAAUGAUUGAAUGAAAAAUAUAUAUAUACAUCCCAAUUUGCAUCUCAGUAUCACAAACUAAUAACACAAUGCCACAAAUUUUAGCUUCUUCAUAUUACAUUAUAUUAUUGGCACAGAAUAGCACACUGACGUAUACGAGCACAUAUAGGCGGCAGCUAUUAAGCUACCAGUUGCUUUGGCUACAUCUUCCUGGAUUAAAGCGGUAAGCGGUAACGGCUGAUAAUCUCAUCUCUUGCAGAAGGGAUUGAUGACAAUUGCAGAUAAAAUAUCUUUGGUCUAAAAUAAUUUUGUUGUCAUUGUCAUAUUGAUGACAAUUGCAGAUAAAAUAUCUUUGGUCUAAAAUAAUUUGAAUCCAAGCGAUUCAUUCUCUGCUUAUGACAAGAAAAAGUUGAUUCGGCUUGCUCAGUAUUACCCAAAUGACUUUUCUGCACUUGACUUGAUGAUACUUGAAGAUCAGCUUAAGAUGUACAUUAUGGCCUUGCGCUCCAGCAUUGAGUUUUCAGGAUUGAAUGGGAUUGCGGAUCUUGCACAGAAAAUGGUUGAGACAAAAAAAGACUCUGUUUACUCAUUAGUUUACUUGCUGUUGACAUUGGCACUUAUCUUACCAGUUGCAACUCCUACUGUAGAGAGGGCGUUUUGUGCUGCGAGGAUCGUGACGAACCGGUUACUCGAUCAAAUGGAAGAUCAAAGGACGGAUGAUAGUUGGAUUGCAUAUAUUGAGAAAGACAUUCUUGAUAGUAUCGAAAAUGAGAUCGUUAUGCAACGAUUUCAAAAUAUGAAAACUCGUCCAUGGCAAAUCUCAUUGUAAUGAAUAGAUAUUUUAUCAAUCAACGCUGAUGUUUUUGUCUUGUUAUGAGCUUCAACUGUUUUUUUUUCUUAUUUUGUCUGAAAUAUUGUCAGUAUAGACCUAUGGCUCUGCAUCCCUUGAAUUUGAACAGGUUGAAGCAUGACUGCUUGCUCAAGAAGCAAUGACUACAGAACAUUGGAAUUACAGGUUAGUGUCGAGAAAGUAAUGUAUUUGAAUGGCUGACCACUUUCUCGAAUCUAGCUGGUGGAUGACCAUAGACUGCAUUUCACAGUUAGAAUUUGCCAUGAUAUAUCAUAUUGUAACGGAAAAUUAUAGGGUGUUGAUAGGAAUUUUACCACACACGCAAAUGGGUUAAAACUCCAAUAUUACUUGCAAGAAUGACAAGGUUAUUGUAGUAUAAACGGAUCUCGCAAGGUCGUUCUUCACAGCGAUUAUUAAAUAAUUUAAAUCAAACCAAAUUCCAAUUGAUUAUUGUAAGAUAGAAAUUUAGAUGAUUGAUUUUAUGACCUACCAAAAUUAAAACGAAUUUAGCUAAUAAAAAUAAGACAAUCUGCAAUAUUAAAGCUGAAAGAAAAAGAAAUAGUUUUUAAAAUAUCAAUUUAUAAAAACACUAGGGUUCCACCAUCACCUAGCAAUUCUAUGCAUUUUUACCAAUUACUUAUGAUCUACCCAUGCCACCUUGAAGGUUAGGUUUUCCUAAUUUAUAUUCUAUUUGAAACCUCAAACAUAGAAUGUAAAUUUAAUAUGCAAUUCGUCUGCACGUUCGGAUCAAAUUUGAACAUGAGACACUCAUUAUACUUCAUGAAAACCCUUUGAAAAACCAUGCAACCCUUAAGACGUGGUGUUCAUCUUAAGUGAAAUUACAAUUAUCAACCACAAGAAGCCAGCGCCAAUUUCAGGGAACCUUCUGACCAAAAUUGCAUCAAAUUACUUUUUUAAAGAUCCUAAUGGUGAUAAGGCAUUAAGACAAUUAGAUAGUUUUAAUCACGGUGAUUAAUAAUUCAAAGUGUGCAUGCAAUCAAUCAUAAGCAAUUAAAUAAAAAUUACAUAUUCAUGCUAAGGCUCAAGGCUUCGCUCUAGCAAAAGGAAUUAGUUACGCAUAUUCAUAAUUAAAAUCAUAGAAAAUAUUAUUAAGAAAAGGAUUGAAAACCCCUUAAAGUAGAAAAUCUCCAAGAACCCUAGCAAUUACUCUCUAUCUCCAAAAUUGCAUAAAGGAAAACGUAGAGAAAUACUGUGGACGGCAAAGCAAUAUAUGUUGCUAUCCAUCGCACAAACCCUAAAAACCAAGUCCUUUAUUCCAACUACGAAACUAAGAUAACUAAAAUAAAAUAGGAAACAUAAUCCUAAAUUAAAUGGUAAAAUUCGCCUAAAAUCUGGACAGCCACGUUCUGAACCCUUAAGCUGCUCCAAAACUAGCCCAAUAUAGCUGGAUUUGAUGUUUGAAAUAUUCUGAACACUUCUCCAGAAGGCCACGAACCCAUCAGAGGUCAUCUCGGGCUCCAAAAACGCAAUUUAAGCCCUGAAACAUCAUUUUCAAGCACUGCACACUACUCAUUUAUUCCAUUGCCAGAAAAUAACCGCUUGGUAGAAAAAUCCCAAAUUUUGAUAAGAACACGCCAAAAGACACACGAACGUCUUCCAACUUGAAUCACUCCAAAAUUCUUCCGUUUGAUCAUGUUAUGCUCCAGAGGAAGUCAGGUGUUCUAUAUUGAAAAUAUAAAUCAAAGUAUCAAAAUUUUACCAAAAUAAUUACCAAAACAUACUAAGAAUAAGAUAAAAUAUAUGGUAUAAUAUGAACUCAUCAGGUGUUACAAUUGAACUGAUUUAGAUCCUUUUUUCCACUUGUAACUUGUCAUUAUUGUCAAUUCUCCACUGAUACGAAAAUAGGCGACCCAACUCAAUUUACUUUUAUUGGUUGAAGCACACUUUGUUUUGUUGAAUAACAGAAUGUGCGUCUCUGCUUCUCUAUCUAGUUACUAUUUUUGGCAUUUGCUUCGAUUUCUGAACUUCAAACUUGUAUAGAUUCAAAUGUAAGGGGCUACUUACGUUAGACAAGCCACGAUGUUGUUUAAGAAUCAAUUAGAAAUGUUGUGGUUAUAGGACUUUCCGUCAAGUACUAGUCCAAAUGCUUCGAUAACCAUUACGAAGGAGGAUGUUGGGCUUUAUUCUAUCGGAGUUCCACUUCCGGGGGUCUUACUUAUGGUUAUAGGACUCUUCUGGUUUCCCUUGAGUACUAGCUAAGGGUAUUUACUCAUACUGGUUGAUGCCGUACCGAAUCUAAUGGGCAGAUUGGCUGCAGAGUAGUAAAGCUUGUUCCCGGUUAGCUUGAACAAGAUACAAUUCAUAUGGUUCUCCGCAUUCUCAAAUAUAGGAGUAGUUGAACAAACCGGCAGCAUUUUACAAGUCAUAUUUUGGCAGCAUAUUUGUGACGUUUUUCGGCCAAAGCACAGUGAUUUAGCCAUCAAGAAAGUUACCAUUCUCUUCGUCUCGUUGAGAAGUAUGAUUUUCUUUUUUGAAUCACUCUAUUUCAUUGAGUAUUGAAGAAGUUAUGAACGUUUAAAGUUUACCCAGUUUCCGGCGAGUUUUCCAGUUUUCCCGCGAACCAGUCACCUUUUAGGGUAUUUUUCGGCCAUCUCCGUCAACCAUUGGGCUUACAAAUAGGUAUAAUCUUGUUGUUCUACACUUUGCUAUCUUCAUUUUGAUAUAUUAUGGGUCGAAUUUGGUUAAGAAACGAUUGAGUUACAAAGCUUUGAAAAUUGCUCAAACUUUCGGCCAAGAGCUCUGAGACACUUAACAGAGUUUUUAACGGAAUGACCCAAAAAAUGGAUGGUGGACAAUCUUAGGGACCAUUUCUAUUGAUUUUCAAUCUCAAGGACCAAAGUGAUGUGUUAUGCAAAUUUCAAGGACCACUUUGGCUUAAAAACCUUAAUUUUACACUGAAAGAUGCACCGAACUAGAAUGUAUGUUCUAAUUCAAUUUUUCAACCCACGAUUCAAAAAUAGCAAACCACGCGAAACUGAGCCGGAUGGUCUAGUUCAUCAUUUCAGUCUAGUUUUCUAACCCUAAUUCCUAACUUCUUCUGGAUAGUCUACUCCCUCUGAUUUAGUCCGAUUUUCUUUCCCAAUUUCCCAAUUUCCUCCGGUUCAGUUCGGUUUUUUGGCCCAACUUCUUGGUUUGUUUGAUCAAAUCUUCAGGGAUCAUUCUAUCCAACCUAAUAGCCUCCAGGGCCCACCUAAUUUCUAGAAACUACGAGCUCAUUCCCUUAAAUCUACUUUGUCAGUACACAAAACUGCUAACAAGCACUCUCAGCUCAUACUUCCACAACCCACCUCAAAGUUCCUCACUUUCCUUUCUUACUUUUUUUUCCAGACAAAGAUGUUGAUUGUCCCAAUCAGGUAGCGAUGACUUCAACAACCUCUCGUCAGCCCCGACCUGUGGGACCCAUUCAAGGAUUUCCCAUUCCGAGCAUUUCUAUUCCAUUCCCCAAUCUCCAAUGUCUUCCGAGAAUUCAAUCCGUUUUCUUCCGUAAACUCUCGGCUCAACUGGAGAGAAACCCAAAACGCCCACGUCUUGACCGCAGCGCUAUUGGCGUUUGCCAAUGAGGAAAUGCUUGUUUCGCUUGAGGACAAAUUAAUGCUCUAGAUCAGCAUCGACAUCGAUAACUUCACGACCAGGAUGAAGCUGUCAGACGAUGCUAAGAUUGAGGAGCUCAAGGUGUUCAUGAGCAAUGGAGUGCUCACUGUGACUGUUCCUAAGUUGGCAGCCGUCGCUGGCAGGCACGAUAUGUAACAACUUGUCCCUAAAUACGUUGACUUUUGUUGACCAUCUUGUCGUGUCACGUAAGAUCCGUUUUCUUGGCGUAUCUUCGUAGUACUCGUCGUAACGAACACAUGGGUGCGAACAAAACGUAAUUUAUAGUUACAACGAAGGAGUUAUUAACAAACGAAGUCAAGGGCAAAAUGGUCAUUUGACCAUAAAUAUGGAAGGCUCUAGAUUUUACUGGAGAAGUUAGUUGAUGCCAUAUGUGUGGGUGAGAUGGAAAGAAAUGAGAGAAAAUGAGGGGUGUGGACCAAUCAGAAAGAGGAGGUGAGGAGUGAACCAAUAGGAGAGGAAAGAAAGGAAGGAAAUAAGGGAGGAGAGAAGGAGAGGAACCGGUCGGGUUCUUCUUGACCCGCGUGACCCGACCUGGUUACUUUCAAAAUUUUCGACGGAUUUCCAUCGAUUUUUCUGGCAAACCACGUCAAACAACCACCUGGGAACCACUCCACGCCCUUCCCUUUACCAAUUCCACCCCAAAAUUGAUACAAAUUGGCCUUGAUUUUGUGAAACCCACACCAGUGGGUGCAAUGGUGUCUUGCUGUCGAUCCAUCAAUCCUGAAAUGAUUUCCUUCGAUCACCACCACCUUUAGCAUCCUCUUGAGCUCAGGAACAAAGCCUAAACAUGUUUAGGGGCGUCGGAUGUGAAACCUCGUCUCUAAUUUUAUCAUAUUUUGUAUUUUUGGACUUACGAAAUUACUAAAAUUCCUUUGAGGCAUAUUUGUUGACUUUUGUUGACUGUCUCGUCAAAACGUGUAGGUUUAAUUUAAUUAAGUUAUUUUUGUCGUACUCAUCGCCACGAACGUGUAGGUUUUGAAUUUGGAUUUAUAACGAAGAUUUUACGUUUUGAACAUUGGACAUUUUUUGGAUAAUUUUGUGUUUUGUCCUUAGUGACCUUGUUAUGUGAGCCAUUAGGGCCCACAUGUCUUCUUCCUUUUCCCUCACCAUGAGCCCCUUUUCUUCUUCUUUGUCUGGAAACCAUACUCUCUCUUUCCCACAACUUUCUCAUCUUUCUCCCUCUCUAGUUUCUCUUAAACCACCUUCACCGAGGGUUUCUUUCACAAACAAACAACACAACAACAACAUCAACAUCAACAUCCCCAUCAACACCCCAGUGAACUCAGAUUCGAAAGAAGACUCUCUAAACCUUCCAAAACUUGAUGCACAGUGCUUGUAUUGUUCAUCGAGUUUUCCGAUGAGUUUCCACGUUCUCCGGCGAAGGUAAGCCUCGACCUUCAUCCAAAAGUUGUAGAUCAUGUUUUGGUGUAUGUUUGAAAGUAGUUUUGAGAAGUUUAAGUGAUGUUUUGAUGUAGGAACCUUACAGGGAAAACUUCCCCAGUUUUUUGACAAAGCACCGCCAUUUUUGAGGUGAUUUUUAGCCAAACCACAGCGAGUUAACGGUGUGCAAGGUAUCAAUCUCUUCAUCUCAUUGUGAACUAUAACUUUCGUUUUUGUUUCACUUGAUUUAGUUGAGCAUUGGAUGAGUUAUAAGCCUUGGAAAACCUGUCUAGAAACCGACCGAUCCAUGGCUUGAAACCGGGUUGACCUGACCUGAUAACCUUAAAACAUGAUCCAAGCCCAAGUUGAAAUCAACCCAAUUGUCUAGCCCAACCCAAAACUCAAAGCCUAGCCUAAAACCCAAAGCGCAGCCCAAAACCCAAAGCCUAAGCCUAGAGUCAAGCCCAAGCCUAGAAAUUGGCCCAACUUAGAGCCCAGACCGCGCGUGGGCGUUUGCCUUGGUCAACGCAUAGAGCACACGUGCCUCCACAAGAGGUACUAUGCUCCGCCGCUAUCGACUUUUUUAGCCAACUUUUCGGCCACCCAAAUCGGCGUGUGGCACCUAGGGGUACCCCAGGUCCCCCCUUAUGUUUUUCAAUGUCCUGAAUCUGUUUAUGAUGUCCAUUUUCCGAAAUUCAAUCGUUAUGGUGGAGUUUUAUUAAUUGGACCAUUUAUGUGCUUAGGUACGAUUAUUAGCAGUGUUUUCGUCCCUCCUAUUUCGUACGGCUCUUCAACGAUGGAGUAUCUAUGAGUAGACCCCUUAUAAAAUGCAUAUUUUACUAUUAGAAAUGCAUACAUGAAAAACAUGAUUUAUUGAUUACGUUUUAUGAAACGUUUAUGAGUAAAUUGGAUUUACGCUUUAUGACAUUCGUGCUUUAUCGAUUUUCCAUUCUUUGUAGUAUAUAUGACUGAUGACUAUAUACUAUAUAUAUGUUUUAAGAUAUGAUGUUUGAGCUACUGAGCUCUGAUGAGAUAUAUGUAUUAUGUUUGGAAAUAUUAUGUUCAAUGAUUUUUAUGCUUAUCUAGUGGCCAAUGUUCUGCCUAUGGGCGAUGAUACUUAUAUAUGGCUUCAACCGGGCGUAGGUUGGUGGCUUUGGCUGGGAGAUACUUGUAUAUGGCUUUAACCAAGAGUAGGUUGGUGUCUUCGACUGUGAGAUACUUAUAUAUGGCUUCGGCCAGGCAUAGGUUGGUGGCUUUGGCCGUAAGAUAUUGAUAUAUGAUACCACUAGUACACAUUAUAUGAUAUCUAUUUUAUGAAGGUUUUAUGGCAUGCUAGGGUUUUCAGAAAACCUAUUACUUAUUAUGCUAUAUGAGUUUUCAUAAACUUUAGGGAUUAGUACGUUGUUGAAUAACUAUGUUAGUACUACUUAUAUAUCAACUUGGUCCACUCAUGUUUGUUUUGUGCCCCCUUAGGACCUAGGAAUGAGGCAUACGAUUCAAGCUACGAGGCUCCCUUACCAGUGAUAUCGUGCCAUCCUCUCUGCUUUUGACAUCACUUGUAAUAACACUUUCUGUCACACAUUUGGCUUGUAUUCUGAAUUAGAUGUAUGCUCUAAACAUGUCAUGCAUUAUCACUAUCAUUUUAUUAACGGCUGAAUAUUAUUAUAUUAUUUUGAUAAGGUUUGUAUAUGAAUAUUAAAUUGUGUAAUUCACACGAAAUUUAUAUGCAUGUUUCACAUGCUUUCAGCAUAUGCAUUUAUUAAAUGGCUUGAGUCACCCUUGGGUGUUGGCCAACAAGUGGCCAUCCCGUUGUCCCCCCUGACAUCGGGAUCGAGGCGUGUCAUUGGAGGUCGUUUUGAGGUCGAAUCGAGAACACCCAUUUCUAAGGAUUUUGGCGGUUGGUGGCGUUUUCAGGCCACUUCCUGGCCAAAUUGGAUUUUGGCCUAGGUGUGAAAGUUGUUCCUCUCAUUGAGAUCUACUUGCGUGUAAAAUUUGAGAAUUUUUAAUGUUAGUCGGAAAAUUGGGUUUUCGUUUGUCGGAAACCGCCACAUGCAGUGGCGCGUGGUCUUUCGGCCACCAUCCCCAUGGCGGCUAGUGCGGCGGUGCGUGAGGGGAACUCGAGGUCCCUCAUUAGGUAUUUCAAUGUGUUGAAUCCAAAUCCGCUAUCCCUUUUCUCAAAUUCUGACGUUUUAGUAUAAUUUUACUAAAUGGUCUCUAUGUGCGUUUAGGUGCAAUGGUUGGAAGUUACUUCAUUCUCGCUAGUUCAAGUGGCUCUCGGGCGAUAAAAUAUCUGUGAGUAGACCCCUUCAUAACUUGUGUGUUUUUGUAAAAUAUUAGCCUAGCAUGCAUUGCAUAUUUCUUGAUUUAAGUAUGUUUUAUAUUUUAUGGAUUUCUAUAAUGAUGGUUUACGAAAUAUUUAUGAUUUAUUGAAAGUACAUUUUUACGAAUAGUUAUGAAUGAUUGGAUUUGCAUAUAUGAAUUUCUAUGGCUCUCGAGUAUGAUUUGGUUUUGGAUUCACGAGUAUGGUUUACCAGGGAUUAUGAGAUGAUAUUUUGAGCUUGUGAGCCUCGGAUUUGAUAUGAGUUUUUUGAGGUAUGUUUUGGGUACUUAUCUAGUGGGUUAUCAUACAACACAUCCACACAAUCGGGUAUGUAAACGUCUAUGGCCAUAGGACAUAGUGGAGGAGUAGUGAGAGAUUAUGGUUAUACCCUUAGCAUCACUAGCCCGGGGCUAGUGUCAGUGUGUGAUGUUAUAUGUAUAUGCCUCUUCUUUGGCGUAACCCAGAGAUGUACAGCUUCACCUCCGAGUGAUGGUCCUCAUGUUUCUUCUCUGGCGUAACCCAAAGAUGUACAGCUUCACCUUCGGGUGAUGGACCCAAUGCAUAUACAUAUAUAUAUGUUAUAGCCUAUUCUCUAGCGUAACUCGUAGUAGUACAGCUUCACCUUCAGAUGAUGGAUCGUGGUUUCUUCACUGGCGUAACCUAGUGUCGUACAGCUUCACCUUUGGUGAUGGUUAUGCCUUCGGGCCACUAUGAUACCCCUAGUUGAGUAUAUCAUCGAUGAGAUUUAUGGAUUUGCCUUUGGGCGACGUUUUCAGCAUUAUUGAGCAUGGAUUUACAUGUACUGUUUUAUGAAUGUUUUACAUGGCAUGCUAGGGUUUUUAUAAAACUUAUAUGUAGUAUUAUAUAUGUGUUUUCAAAACAGGGAGUUAUUAUUUUCAGAAAUAAAACGGUUUUCGUAUUAUUAGUAUUAUUAUAUAUGGGAUACUUUGGAUGCGGUCCCUAAUCCUUAACAUUAUUUGAUUAAAAUCUUAAUAGUAUUCAAAGUUUGAUCAAAGUCCCUAAACUUUGUACACCUCAUUAUAUUACUAUUACUAUUUAUAUUUUUAUAGUUUUGACAUUAAUUGUUUGAUAUUUUAUGAGAUUUAUAAUCCUAUAAAUUUAAAAUCCCUCAUUAUAAUACUAUUAGAAACAGUUACAAUAAAAAAAUUCAAACAUUUUGAUUUAAUAAUUGGAUAAAAACUAUGUAAAAAUAAGAAAUAAUAAAUGGCAAAAAAAUGUAUCCAUAGUGUUAAAAAAAUUGGUACAUUUUACAAAAAAAAAAGGUACAUUUCACAUAUAACAAAGUGGUACAUUAAUAAAGAAGAAUGGGUACAUUAUAAAUAAAUUAGGGUACAGAUAAAAGAUUAAAAACUAAAAAUAUAAAUAUAUGAUACAAAGUUUAGGCAUAAAACAUAAAUAUAUCAUAUGUAAUUUUUCUAUCAUUGAUUAAAUAUACAAUGUCACGUGACGAUAUACACAUGAGUACAAACACACAACAACAACAAAGCCUUUUCCCACUAAGUGGGGUCGGCUAUAUGAAUCCUAGAACGCCAUUGCGCUCGGUUUUGUGUCAUGUCCUCCGUUAGAUCCAAGUACUCUAAGUCUUUUCUUAGAGUCUCUUCCAAAGUUUUCCUAGGUCUUCCUCUACCCCUUCGGCCCUGAACCUCUGUCCCGUAGUCACAUCUUCGAAUCGGAGCGUCAGUAGGCCUUCUUUGCACAUGUCCAAAUCACCGGAACCGAUUUUCUCUCAUCUUUCCUUCAAUUUCGGCUACUCCUACUUUACCUCGGAUAUCCUCAUUCCCAAUCUUAUCCUUUCUCGUGUGCCCACACAUCCCACGAAGCAUCCUCAUCCCCGCUACACCCAUUUUGUGUACGUGUUGAUGCUUCACCGCCCAACAUUCUGUGCCAUACAACAUCGCUGGCCUUAUUGCCGUCCUAUAAAAUUUUCCCUUGAGCUUCAGUGGCCUACGACGGUCACACAACACUCCGGAUGCACUCUUACACUUCAUCCAUCCAGCUUGUAUUCUAUGGUUGAGAUCUCCAUCUAAUUCUCCGUUCUCUUGCCAGAUAGAUCCUAGGUAGCGAAAACGGUCGCUUUUUGUGAUCUUCGCUAGAUUGCUCCGGUCAUUAGUGUGGAUAAGUAUAUAAAUGGAUAGAGAUAGGAAAGCCAACACAAGAUGUACGUGAUUCACCCAGAUUGGCUACGUUCACGGAAUAGAGGAGUUCUCAUUAAUUGUGAAGGGUUUACACAAGUACAUAGGUUCAAGCUCUCCUUUAGUGAGUACAAGUGAAUGAUCUAGUACAAAUGACAUUAGGAAAUAUUGUGGGAGAAUGAUCUCGUAAUCACGAAACUUCUAAGUAUCGGAGUGUGGUAUCGUCUUGAUUUGCCUUAUCUGUCUCAUAGGUAGAUGUGACAUCUUCUCUGGAAGUACUCUUCCUCCAUCCAGGGGUGGUAUCUUUAACUGGUGGAGAUGCACAAGGUAAUGUAUCAAUUUCACUUGAAGCUUACGUGUAGUUUCAGGCUUGGUCAAGCGCGAUACAAACCAUGUAGUAGGAGUCCCCAAAUCACCGAGCUAGGGGAUCUGCUGAAAGAGGUGACAGACAAGGUAAGCAAUCAGAGCUCCGGCUGAUUGUUCACAUUCUCCUUAUCUUGCAGGCAGCAUGAAGGAUAAAGAGAAGAAAAAUGAGAAGAGAUGAUAUGGGAUACUUUUGCUUUUGAAGAAGUAACUUUCCACAGGCUUAUUCUUGAACUGAGCUGGAGGGUUUUCUGGUUUCCUCCAGAGUAUAAGGCCGACUGAAGAAUUUGAGGGUCAAAACAAGUCCAUCAAAUCUAGAGUAUGUUCGACCCUGCUGAUAUGGGAUACUUUUGCUUUUGACAGAGUAAUGGAUGUAUCGGCACGUGUGCUGUUACGUUUGUCUCCACAUGCUUCCUUGUAUCAUUCUCACUUGCCCUAUUUGUUCCUCAGGCAGAUGCGGUAUCUUCCCUGGGAGCAUAAGAUGUUGAAGAUGAGUACUCGAGAGCAAUACCAGGUAAGUAAUCAGGUAAGGGGUUCGAGGCAGUCAGUUCCUGGCUAUAAGCUUGAUUCCAAGUGCUGACUGAUUGCUCUCUUUCUCCUUGUCUUGCAGGUAAGAACAAGGCCAAAGGAAAAGACAGGGAAAAAGCAUGAUAUGGGAUACUCUUGCUUUUAACCCUGAUGAUAUGGGAUAUUCUUGCUCUAGUAUAGCUUGUUUGCAGAGGUAUUAUCAGGGGGGAAGAAAGCUGAGUAUUUCGAAAGGCUUCGUUGGGAGUGCCCUCUCAGAUAUGAGGAAGGGUUGAGCAUUUUUGCAGGUCUGCCUGUCCGUUGGGGAUGGAGGUCGACAUAUAUAGGAGUCUCCCUAACAACAAGUAGUAAUGCUAUUCCUUUACCCUGCUUGGUCAUAGCACGGUAGUGGGAGCUGCCAGCUUCACAUGUUUUAACUCUGUCAGAGCACUUUGAAAAAGUGGUCUGUGGUAUCUGGAAAGCUGAUGUUGCGUGUGAGGAUUACAGACAAGCUUUAUCCAAGGAGAUCCGGCUCUUGAAGUUGGGAAAGUGGUGCCUUUUCGGUUUUCGAACAAGCAAUCCUAUCGAGGAUCUGGCUCUCGAGAUUCGGAGAAUGAUGCCUCUUCGAUUUUUGAGAAAGCAAUCAUGCUGGGGGUCUGGCUCUCGAGAUUCGAAGAGCGGUGUCUCUUCGAUUUUUGAGAAAGUAAUCAUGUUGGGAGUCUGGCUCUCGAGAUUCGGAGGGCGGUGCCUCUUCGAUUUUGGAGCAAGCAAUCUUGUUGGGAGUGUUUUCUCGAAUGUGAGUAAAGGUUGGGCAUGUUUGCUAGUCUACCUUGCCACAAAGCACAGAGGUUGACACACAGGGACUUUCCAAUUAUCCAGCAAUGGUACUGUUCCUUUACCCUCUUCGAUUUUUGAGAAAGUAGUCAUGUUGGGAGUCUGGCCCUCGAGAUUCGGAGGACGGUGGAUUUUGGAGCAAGCGAUCUUGUUGGGAGUGUUUUCUCGAAUGUGAGUAAAGGUUGGGCAUGUUUGCUAGUCUACCUUGCCACGAAGCACAGAGGUUGACACACAGGGACUUUCCAAUUAUCCAGCAGUGGUACUGUUCCUUUACCCUUGUGGGUAAUAAUAUGGUAGCUAGACCUUCAAAGUUUAUGUGUCUAAAUUUUGUUAGUGCUGUUUCUUUGCUAUUCUUUUACCCUUCUUGGUCAGAGCGAUGUAGUGGGAGCUGCAAGCUUCACGUGCUCAACUUUGGCAGAGAACUUUGGCAAAGUUAUCUGUGGUACCCAUGAGCUAUUGUUGCGUGUGGGAAGUGGGUGAUUGAACAGUAAGAUUCAUGUGCUUUCUACUUCACCAGAAGUCUUCGACAGAAUGCCCAUAAUUUCCGCAAAGCUGAGUGUGCGUGUGACAAGUGCUGACAAGGCUGGAAAAGUAGGUGCCUCUUCGAUUUCUGAGAUCGACCCUCGUGGUCUCUGAGCAGCCCAGAUUUUGAGAAAGCAAGCGCCUCUUCGAUUUUUGAGAAAGCAAUCAUGCUGGGGGUCUGGCUCUCGAGAUUCGGAGAGCGGUGUCUCUUCGAAUUUUGAGAAAGUAAUCAUGUUGGGAGUCUGGCUCUCGAGAUUCGGAGGGCGGUGCCUCUUCGAUUUUGGAGCAAGCAAUAUUGUUGGGAGUGUUUUCUCGAAUGUGAGUAAAGGUUGGGCAUGUUUGCUAGUCUACCUUGCCACGAAGCACAGAGGUUGACACACAGGGACUUUCCAAUUAUCCAGCAAUGGUACUGUUCCUUUACCCUCUCUUUCGAUUUUUGAGAAAGUAAUCAUGUUGGGAGUCUGGCUCUCGAGAUUCGGAGGGCGGUGCCUCUUCGAUUUUGGAGCAAGCAAUCUUGUGGAGUGUUUUCUCGAAUGUGAGUAAAGGUUGGGCAUGUUUGCUAGUCUACCUUGCUACGAAGCACAGAGGUUGACACACAGGGACUUUCCAAUUAUCCAGCAGUGGUACUGUUCCUUUACCCUUGUGGGUAAUAAUAUGGUAGCUAGACCUUCAAAAUUUAUGUGUCUAAACUUUGUUAGUACUGUUUCUUUGCUAUUCUUUUACCCUUCUUGGUUAGAGCGAUGUAGUAAGAGCUGCAAGCUUCACGUGCUCAACUUUGGCAGAGAACUUUGGCAAAGUUAUCUGUGGUACCCAUGAGCUAUUGUUGCGUGUGGGAAAUGGGUGAUUGAGCAGUAAGAUUCAUGUGCUUUCUACUUUACCAGAAGUCUUUGACAGAAUGCCCAUAAUUUCCACAAAGCUGAGUGUGCGUGUGAUAGGUGCUGACAAGGCUGGAAAAGUAGGUGCCUCUUCGAUUUCUGAGAUCGGCCCUCGUGGUCUCUGAGCAGCCCAACUUUUGAGAAAGCGAGCGCCUCUUCGAUUUCUGAGAUUGGCCUUCGUGGUCUUCGAGCAGCCCAGCUUUUGAGAAAGCAAACGCCUCUUCGAUUUCUGAGAUCAACCCUCGUGGUCUCUGAGCAGCCCAACUUUUGAGAAAGCAAACGCCUCUUCGAUUUCUGAAGCUCCGUCGAGUGCAGAUUUUUAUAGGGGCUGGCAUUAAGUUCUAAAGCACACUUGAAAUCCACCAGUAGAAGCUCCAUUCUUGCACUUCUAAGAUCUUGAUUUAUCCGACCUCUUCUCUCUUCAACACCUUUGAAAAUGUCUGGCCCCUCCGACCGUCGUUUUGACUUGAACCUUGUUGAAGAGGCAGCCCCGCCUUCUCCAGACAACAUAUGGCGCCCAUCCUUCGUCUCCCCUACUGGUCCUCUUACCGUUGGGGAUUCCGUGAUGAAGAAUGAUAUGACCGCUGCGGUGGUGGCCAGGAACCUUCUCACUUCCCAAAGAUAACAGACUACUUUCCAAACGGUCUGAUGAGUUAGCUGUUAAGGAUUCGCUGGCUCUCAGUGUUCAGUGUGCAGGUUCUGUGUCUAAUAUGGCCCAACGCCUAUUUGCUCGAACCCGCCAAGUUGAAUCAUUGGCGGCUGAAGUGAUGAGUCUCAAACAGGAGAUUAGAGGGCUCAAGCAUGAGAAUAAACAGUUGCACCGGCUCGCACAUGACUAUGCUACAAACAUGAAGAGGAAGCUUGACCAGAUGAAGGAAUCUGAUGGUCAGGUUUUACUUGAUCAUCAGAGAUUUGUGGGUUUGUUCCAAAGGCAUUUAUUGCCUUCGUCUUCUGGGGCUGUGUACCGCGUAAUGAAGCUCCAAAUGAUCAACCUCUGAUGCCUCCUCCUUCUAGGGUUCUGUCCAGUACUGAGGCUCCGAAUGAUCCCCCUCCGGUGCCUUCUCUUUCUGGGGCUCUACCGACUGCUGAGACUUCUCCUAAGCAACCUUUGUGAAGGCUCCCUCUUGUUUGUUUAUUUUUGACUCAUGUAUAUGUACAUAUUUGUAGCUUAUCGGGGAUAUCAAUAAAUAAGUUUUCCUUCAUUUCAACGUAUUGUGUUAAAUACACCAAAGCCUUCUUCGCUAAGUUCUUUGAAUUUUCUUUUGUUGAAGCUUGUAUGUGGAAGCUUUGUGAGUGGAGCAUGUAGGUUGAGGUAGUGUUCCCUUAAUUUCCCGAGUGAGGAAAACUUCUCGGUUGGAGACUUGGAAAAUCCAAGUCACUGAGUGGGAUCGGCUAUAUGAAUCUUAGAACGCCAUUGUGCUCGGUCCUGUGUCAUGUCCUUCGUUAGAUCCAAGUACUCUAAGUCUUUUCUUAGAGUCUCUUCCAAAGUUUUCCUAGGUCUUCCUCUACCCCUUCGGCCCUGAACCUCUGUCCAUAGUCGCAUCUUCUAAUCGGAGCGUCAGUAGGCCUUCUUUGCACAUGUCCAAACCACCGUAACCGAUUUUCUCUCAUCUUUCCUUCAAUUUCGGCUACUCCUACUUUACCCCGGAUAUCCUCAUUCCUAAUCUUAUCCUUUCUCGUGUGCCCACACAUCCAACGAAGCAUCCUCAUCUCCGCUACACCCAUUUUGUGUACGUGUUGAUGCUUCACCGCCCAACAUUCUGUGCCAUACAGCAUCGCCGGCCUUAUUGCCGUCCUAUAAAAUUUUCCCUUGAGCUUCAGUGGCAUACGGCGGUCACACAACACGCCGGAUGCACUCUUCCACUUCAUCCAUCCAGCUUGUAUUCUAUGGUUGAGAUCUCCAUCUAAUUCUCCGUUCUUUUGCAAGAUAGAUCCUAGGUAACGAAAACGGUCGCUCUUUGGUAUUUCUUGAUCUCCGAUCCUCACCCCUAACUCGUUUUGGCCUCCAUUUGCACUGAACUUGCACUCCAUAUAUUCUGUCUUUGAUCGGCUUAGGCGAAGACCUUUAGAUUCCAACACUUCUCUCCAAAGGUUAAGCUUUGCAUUUACCCCUUCCUGAGUUUCAUCUAUCAACACUAUAUCGUCUGCGAAAAGCAUACACCAAGGAAUAUCAUCUUGAAUAUGUCCUGUUAACUCAUCCAUUACCAACGCAAAAAGGUAAGGACUUAAGGAUGAGCCUUGAUGUAAUCCUACAGUUAUGGGAAAGCUUUCGGUUUGUCCUUCAUGAGUUCUUACGGCAGUCUUUGCUCCUUCAUACAUAUCCUUUAUAGCUUGGAUAUAUGCUACUCGUACUCCUUUCUUCUCUAAAAUCCUCCAAAGAAUGUCUCUUGGGACCCUAUCAUACGCUUUUUCCAAAUCUAUAAAGACCAUGUGUAAAUCCUUUUUCCCAUCUCUAUAUCUUUCCAUCAAUCUUCGUAAGAGAUAGAUUGCCUCCAUGGUUGAGCGCCCUGGCAUGAACCCGAAUUGGUUGUCCGAAACCCGUGUCUCUUGCCUCAAUCUAUGCUCAAUGACUCUCUCCCAGAGCUUCAUUGUAUGACUCAUUAGCUUAAUACCCCUAUAGUUCAUGCAAUUUUGUACGUCGCCCUUAUUCUUGUAGAUAGGCACCAAAGUGCUCGUUCGCCACUCAUUUGGCAUCUUCUUCGUUUUCAAAAUCCUAUUGAAAAGGUCAGUGAGCCAUGUUAUACCUGUCUCUCCCCAAAACUUUCCACACUUCGAUUGGUAUAUCGUCUGGGCCUAUUGCUUUUCUAUGCUUCAUCUUCUUCAAAGCUACAACCACUUCUUCCUUCCGGAUUCGACGAUAAAAAGAGUAGUUUCUACACUCUUCUGAGUUACUCAACUCCCCUAAAGAAGCACUCCUUUCAUGUCCUUCAUUGAAAAGAUUAUGAAAAUAACCUCUCCAUCUGUCUUUAACCGCGUUCUCUGUAGCAAGAACCUUUCCAUCCUCAUCCUUGAUGCACCUCACUUGGUUUAGGUCCCUUGUCUUCUUUUCCCUUGCUCUAGCUAGUUUAUAGAUAUCCAACUCUCCUUCUUUGGUAUCUAGUCGUUUAUACAUAUCGUCGUAAGCCGCUAACUUAGCUUCUCUCACAGCUUUCUUCGCCUCUUGCUUCGCUUUUCUAUACCUUUCACCAUUUUCAUCGGUCCUAUCCUUGUAUAAGGCUUUACAACAUUCCUUCUUAGCCUUCACCUUUGUUUGUACCUCCUCAUUCCACCACCAAGAUUCCUUUUGGUGUGGGGCAAAGCCCUUGGACUCUCCUAAUACCUCUUUUUGCUACUUUUCGGAUACAACUAGCCAUGGAAUCCCACAUUUGGCUAGCUUCCCCCUCUCUAUCCCACACACACUGGGUGAUUACUUUCUCUUUGAAAAUGGCUUGUUUUUCUUCUUUUUAGAUUCCACCAUCUAGUCCUUGGGCACUUCCAAGUCUUGUUCUUUUGUCUCACUCUUUUGAUAUGUACAUCCAUCACCAACAAGCGAUGUUGAUUAGCCACGCUCUCUCCUGGUAUAACUUUGCAAUCCUUACAAGUUAUACGAUCCCCUUUCCUCAUUAGAAGAAAAUCUAUUUGUGUUUUUGACGACCCACUCUUGUAGGUGAUCACAUGUUCUUCUCUCUUCUUAAAGAAGGUGUUGGCUAAGAAGAGAUCAUAUGCCAUUGCAAAAUCCAAGAUAGCUUCCCCAUCCUCGUUUCUCUCCCCAAAACCAUGGCCACCAUGAAAACCUCCAUAGUUGCCUGUCUCCCUGCCCACGUGUCCAUUUAAAUCUCCUCCUAUAAAUAACUUCUCCGUCUGAGCAAUUCCUUGCACCAAGUCUCCAAGAUCUUCCCAAAAUUUCUCCUUCGAACUCAUAUCCAACCCUACUUGAGGUGCGUACGCACUAAUCACAUUGAUAAGUUCUUGUCCUAUUACAAUCUUGAUUGCCAUGAUUCUAUCUCCUACCCUCUUGACAUCUACAACAUCUUGUACCAAGGUCUUGUCCACGAUGAUGCCAACACCGUUUCUCGUUCUAUUUGUGCCCGAAUACCAAAGUUUAAACCCUGAGUUUUCUAGAUCCUUUGCCUUACUACCAACCCACUUAGUUUCUUGUAGGCACAUAAUAUUUAUCCUUCUCCUCACCAUAACUUCCACUACUUCCAUAGAUUUUCCCGUUAAGGUUCCUAUAUUCCACGUUCCUAAACGCAUUUUGCUCUCUUGAACUCUACCCUUCUGUCCUAGCUUCUUCACCCUCCCCCGUCUAAUAGGAUCAAAAUACUUCUUUUGUGUGUCCCGGGUAAAGUUGAUAGGAGCAUAUGCUCCCAAACAACUUUGAGUGGAGUCGUUCGAAAAGAAGUUUCUAUGGCCCCCUUGCUCAUUUAACACUGCAUCCGGGUGCCGAUGGAGAUACAGCGACCCUUGCUCACUUAUCACUGUGCUCGGGCCACACAGCGCGCCACUUACGGGUGACGCCCUAGCUUUAGCGCGAUUUUGUUCUGGAUUCAUUUUCAUAAGGAUUCGACGUGAUCAUGGAGUGCCGGCUGUCGACUACCUGACGCCCUCCCCCUCCUCCUUUAUCCGGGCUUGGGACCGGCCAUGUAAAACAUAGGCGGAGUUCAUGAGUACAAACACAAAUAAAAAUUUAAAAAAUUGGGCACAAAAAGAAACUAAUAUAUGGGUACAAAUUAAAAAUGAAAAGAAAAUUGGUACAAAUUAAAAAAUAUUUGCAAAUUAAAAAUGGGUACAAACUAAAAAUAAAAAUAUAUGAUAAAAAAUUUAGCCAUAAAUAUAAAUAUACUAAUUGUAGCAUUUUACCAUUAAGUGAAUAUAUUUAAAAAUAAAAAUAUUUUAUUAUUCAAAUAAUUAAUGAUGUUAUUAAUACCAAAGGACCUUGAUCAAAAAUUGAAAAUGAAUAGGAUUUUAAUCAAUGAAGUAAUAAAAAGAAGGAUGUGAACCUAAUUUUCCCUAUUAGGGCCCUAUUAUAAACUUUGGUCCACUCACAUUUUCUGUUUUUGCGCCCCCUCACGAGUUAGAGUCGUGGCACACAAUCCCAGCGUCAGGACACUUAUGCGUAGAAAGCUUCGAGGCUUCUCAGUGUAGGACAUGUUCUUCGGUUCGUACCUUUCUAUCAUAAUUCUUUCACUUUAUUCUUGAUUAGUUGUAUACUCUGAACACGAUUCUGCACUAGUGUAACUCUUUCUAAUUACAUAUUUUAUUGGUAUGCAUGUGUUAAAAUGGCUUUGUCACCCUCGGGUGUCGGCCAACAUGUGUCUACCCUGAUAUUUGGGAAUAUCAGAGUUGGGAUGUGUCAUGAUGUCAAGGCUAUUGAAAUUUCCGGCGAUGAUUGAAGUGAUCCGGUGCACUUUCUGGGUAAAUUAAGAUAAUGGGUAACCUCGUUUUGUGUCGGAAUGUGAAAAGUUUGUCUAUGUGUGAUUGAAAUGUAUGACAUAGGUGUGUGUUUGUGAUGGUUUUAGCUGAUAUUAAUGUCAUAUGUAGUGUGGAACUUGAUGUUAGUGUCAUCUACUAUGUAUUUUUUUGUUUGUUAAUAAAAUUUCAGAAUCAUAUAAGUUUACUUCUUUUGUAUGUUUACAGUAUGUUCUUAAGAAAAUUUUGUUCUUAAGAUAUAAAUGAUGAAAUUUACAAAUGUGAGUUAGACUAGUUGAUUAUGGUAGUGUAUUCGUUCUUUUGUAGCCAAGUUCAAUUUCUUGUUCAAAUUCUCAUCGCUGUAUUCAAAAGAAAAUUUUGUUGAUCCUUACAUAUCACUGGGACUCAUUCAGAGAUAGUCUCAGCGGUUGAAUUCCAGCUGUAAUGGCUCCAAAACCCUCCCACAACCCUGUGCGCGAGGACUUGCUUUUGGGGUGCCAAUUUCACUGUGACCCUUUCACCAACCUUUUUUUUGGAAACCUUUGGGCAAUGAUAUGGGGUCCGUCCAAAGCACCCACAUGAAAGGCUGCUUACUGUUACCCAAACCCCAUUGCCAAUAUAUAAAUCUUUAUUGUCCAUGAAAGCUAUGCUUCCUGGGCUUACAUGGAUGAUAUAGUAGUGUGCUUGUUUAUCGAGCCAUGACAUAGCUCUGGUCCGCUUUCAACAAGCUUAUAUAUAGGGAUGGAACAAUUUCGUGCAGAGUACCGAUAGGAAACAAUGGAAUUUGGUACUAUUGCUGGAGCCGUACCAGCGAUGAUUGUUCGAGGCAUUCCACGCUGUUCCAAAUGACAGCUGAAGACGACCUUGAAUUGUGGGUGGGUAUGCGGGACAAAUGCAGAGAGUGCUUUGUGUACGGGGGAUGGUCAUAGGGUAUGGAUGUCCACAAUGAAGUUUUUCUCCUAAUGAUGAACGGAUGUAUGUCUAUUGUUUUGUUUAUUCGGUUGCGUAAUGUUGAGAGUUGUCCCACAUCGGUGAGGGACAAGGUUUGCUAUGUGCUUAUAUGAUCUUGGGUUACUCCUCAUAUUACCAAUUGGUUUUAUGGUGAAACCUCAAUUUCAUUAUGGUAUCAGAGCGGGUUGUCCUCGUGUGAAGUUAAACGGCCACACGGGCUCCACAUCACCUAGUUGUUGUCCACGUGUAGGCUUGAAAAUCUGCCACAUGUGCGGGGGCGCGUUGAGAGCUGUCCCACAUCGGUGAGGGACAACACGCGUUCCACGUCACCCAGUUGUUGUCCACAUGUAAGCUUAAAAAUCCGCCACACGUGUGGGGGCGUGUUGAGAGUUGUCCCACAUCGGUGAGGGAUAAGGUUUGCUAUGUGCUUAUAUGGUCUUGGGCUAUUCCCCAUAUUGCCAAUUGGUUUUAUGGUGGAACCUCAAUUUCAUCACCUAAUACCAUCUGUUGUAGGGUACUGAACUGAGGCAACUCACAUUGUUGUUCUCCUCACGGCCAUAUGUGAUGUAUGGGUACAAAUUGUUAGGGUUCCGCAUAAAGCAUACCUAACAAAAUUAAAGUGAAAAUCUAGUUGGACCAUUUUAGUACCCUAACUCUAACUGAACCAACCACGCCUCUUAGUUUGCUCUAUUCCUUCAAGUUCUAGAUUUGUGUUACCAACUUAUGCAGUACAAUAUAUAGGACAUUUUAUUCAAAGUUGAGGAUGGACAACAAAGAAAAUCAUUCUUGCAUCCAUCUGCUGGAAACUUUAUUCAAGGUUAUGGUUAGAAAUACGUUGUUGUUGCAAUUAAAGUGACAUGAUAAGUUCUACAAGCUUAUUAAAGAAAUUGUAGGAAGAACCACAAUUCCUCAAAGAAACUUCUAUUUUCUCCUUCAAGUCCUUGGCUCUAACCCUCAUCACCUCCCCAUCAGCAUCUACCAUCAGUUUCCUGACAGCUCUCUCAAUCUCUCCUCUCUCUAACUCAUUGUCCAAAUGUAGCCCUACUUUCCAUACUAGGCUAACAUACCUGGAAUGCACCUUCUGAUCGCCAAAAGACGGCAUGCAUAUCAUUGGAAACGAGAUUCAGAUUACAACCUCACCAAAUCACACUCAGUUGAACAUAAUAAAAUACAAGAAAUAAAGACAUCGAGAAAUUUAUGAGGUUCGGCAAAAACAUGCCUACGUCCCCCGAGAGAUAUUGCUCUUCACUAUGAAUAACAGUACAAGUACACAUGAGUUAAAUCAACAUAACUCAAUCCCGAAUCCCUUGCACACCCACUCAUAGAAUUUUCCCAAGAGCCUCACUCUACCCCAAGAGUUCUUUCACUAGAAUACUUUUCACUCUAGCUCUCUUGAUUUUCUCUUAACCCAUGUUCAACCUUUCCCAUGGGAGAGCCGUAUGCUCUCCCAUUGGAUGCUUCUAUGAUGCUUACCUUCCCACUUUCUAAACAUUACUAAAUGCACAAAUAUUGCAUCUAGUUAUAGGCAUACACUAGCAACUAUGCCAACAACCAAGACCAAAAAGUCUUAAGUUCACAUGACAUAAUCAUCACCUAGCCUACCUAGCAUGCACCAAAGUCUAUACCUAGUCUAUAAAGUAUAACUUUGCUUGUGGUAGUCACCAUGUCUUCAAUUGUUGUCAACACAUGACUCAUAAUUACUCACAAAUGUAUGAGCUAAACACAACAAUCUCCACCUUGGCGAAUACACCAUGCAAAAAUCCUUGCACCCAUCACCAAAGCCUAUUGGCCUUACGUACCAGCAUACACACCCUGAAUCAACCUUGUUGGUCCUGUUCUGAUUUAGUCACUGCUAAUGCAUGUGCAGCUGCUGCAAGCUAAAAUUCACUAUUUAGCUUCAGACAGGAUCUCGAUACACCUUCGUCUCCUCCAACAGGUUUUCCUCUUCUUCAUUGUCUGCAACCUGGAAACUCGUCAGCGCGCCCGUUUCCAGCAACAACCCAACAAGCCAGACAAAAUUCCCACAUUUCCUCAUUCCUCAGGACCAUCUCAUCACCUGUGAAUCCCAUAGCUCCACCUGCUGCAAAACCCCUGCAACACUUGAGACUAAACAUCACUAGGAGAAGUGUUGCUUCGAGUACCUAGAGGGCAUACUCGAAGCCUUAUGCCAUAAACUUGCUACAACCCGGCCUUGCACCGUAGCACUGUGGACCCUUGCCUCUAAAACCGGAUCUGAACCUGCUGUCUCUCUCAUAUCCUCUUUCCAAUUUGCUUCCACGAUUCCAACCUUGAACAGCUAAAGCAGUCUUGUGCCCACCAUCAUCCAUGGUCAUCUUCUUUUGUGUAUCAUUCCACACCAAAGAAGCUUGCACCUGCUCCAAACUUACUGUAUCUUUCCAUGCAGUAAAAUUUCACAAGGUUCUCGUACAAAUAUGAAAGUGAGGUAAGAAGAAAGAGGCCUUUGUCUUCUUCCUCAACAUCAACUUUCGCAAUUGAUCCAAGCAUCCCUGAACAUGUCUUUCAUUUCUUCAGGCUUCAUUACUCUCAUCUACUAAGAGUAAAGCAGCCACUCCCAUUAAACUGCUCAACUGAAAAUUCCAUGGUGAAUAAAUCUAGACCUCCAACGAACCAAAGCCUCCAACAAUGCUCUGAUACCAAUUGUUGUGCCUUGACCCGUUCGUUAGUGCAGAAACGAGAUUUAGAUUACAACCUCACCAAAUCACACUCAGUUGAACAUAAUAAAAUACAAGAAAUAAAGACAUUAAGAAAUUUAUGAGGUUCGGCAAAAACAUGCCUACGUCCCCGGAGAGAUAUUGCUCUUCACUAUGAAUAACAGUACAAGUACACAUGAGUUAAAUCAACAUAACUCAAUCCCGAAUCUCUUGCAUACCCACUCAUAGAAUUUUUCCAAGAGCCUCACUCUACCCCAAGAGUUCUUUCACUAGAAUACUUUUCACUCUAACUCUCUUGAUUUUCUCUCAACCCAUGUUUAACCUUUCCCAUGGGACAUCCGGAUGCUCUCCCCUUGGAUGCUUCUAUGAUGCUUACCUUCCCACUUUCUAAACAUUACUAAAUGCACAAUAUUGCAUCUAGUUAUAGGCAUACACUAGCAACUAUGCCAACAACCAAGACCAAAAAGUCUUAAGUUCACAUGACAUAAUCAUCACCUAGCCUACCUAGCAUGCACCAAAGUCUAUACCUAGUCUAUAAAGUAUAACUUUGCUUGUGGUAGUCACCAUGUCUUCAAUUGUUGUCAACACAUGACUCAUAAUUACUCACAAAUGUAUGAGCCAAACAAAACACUUAUGCAUUACAAUAUAUAGGACAUUUUAUUCAAAGUUGAAGAUGGACAACAAAGAAAAUCUUUCUUGCAUCCAUCUGCUGGAAACUUUAUUCAAGGUUAUGGUUAGAAAUACGUUGUUGUUGCAAUUAAAGUGACAUGAUAAGUUCUACAAGCUUAUUCAAGAAACUGUAGGAAGAACCACCAUUCCUCAAAGAAACUUCUAUUUUCUCCUUCAAAUCCUUGGCUCUAACCCUCAUCACCUCCCCAUCAGCAUCCACCAUCAGUUUCCUGACAGCUCUCUCAAUCUCUCCUCUCUCUAACUCAUUGUCCAAAUGUAGCCCUACUUUCCAUACUAGGCUAACAUACCUGGAAUGCACCUUCUGAUCGCCAAAAGACGGUGUGCAUAUCAUUGGAAUCCCUUCAGACAAACUCUCUAGGGUUGAGUUCCAACCACAGUGACUCCAAAACCCUCCGAUUGCGCGAUGGGACAAAACUUUCCUCUGGGGUACCCAUUUUACAAUGUAACCGCGUUCUCCAAUCUCUUCUAUGAAACCUUGAGGCAAUUGCUCCAUCCAAUUUGAACCACUUACUGAGCCAGGUCUGAUCACCCAUAAGAAAGGCUGCUUGCUGUUAGCCAAUCCCCAAGCCAUUUCGGCAAGCUCUUUCUCAUUGAUAGAUGCUACACUUCCCAAGCUUACAUAGAUAACCGCAUUGUUAGAUUGCUUGUCGAGCCACCCAAUGCAGCUGGUGUCCUCUUCUAGUAAGCUACUAGAAGCUGCUGCUUCAAUCCUGUGAAGAGGACCUAUGGAGAAGAUUGGAACUGGGCAUUGUUGCUGGAUCUGUGCUAGUGAUGAUUGUUCAAGACAAUCAGUGGUGUUCCAAACGAUUGCCGAUGCUGUCCUCACAUCGUGUGCAUUACCGGCUAGUUCUGAGUACUUUUCUAAUGUGUCGAAGUUGUUGGUGGGCAGAUCCUUCAACCUGAGGUGAUCAACAUCUGGCAGCGGAUUCAGUGACUGAGAGUCUGCAAUCCAACAGUGUUGUGUUCUUAGUUAUAAGUAAGAAAAACGAACAUCUGGGAAUUAGAAUAGCUUUGCAGAAUGAUAGACAUAGAUUUUGCAUUCUGAUUAAGAAAUAUAUAUGGCACAUACCUGGGAAUGGGAUGUAACCUUUUGAAUGAAGCCGUAGGAGAGCAGUACGAGCUAGAAAAUUGGUAACGCUGGUAGUUCGUAGCAUGAUGUUUGGGAUGUUUAGAUCCUUAGCUACAGCUUUAGUGAAGUACAUAAGGUCAUCAUGGAUAAGGCAUGUGAUUUUGUUCUCGGGAUCCUGUUCCAUAAAUUGAGUCAAGGGCUGUCGGAAACACGCUGUGCAGUUGGCAUUUAUGGCCAGCGAAAUGGCCACUGCAUUCCCAGAUGAGAUCUCUUCAGCAGUCAAGCCAUCUUGUAUUGGAAAGAAGGUGAAAUCCGGGUGGUUUGAAGGGUUGGGGGAGUUGAACUGGGUGUGAAUAACAGUGAUAGAAAAGCCCUUUGAGUGAAGGAAGGAACCCAGCUGAAGCAUUGGAUUUAUGUGACCUUGGUAUGGACAUGGGAAUAAGACCAACCUGUUACUCUGUGUUUUCUUUUCCAUCUCCAUCCUUCCUUCUUUCUUUUUUCUCUUAGAGAGACAUAGACACACACCCCCAAAAGGUUACAGUGAUUGGAUUUCUAAAUUUUUGACUGCAUCAUUGAAACCCUUGGAGUUUUUAUAAAGGUGAGUUAUUAAAAACAUCCUUUUUUACCUUCUGCAUAAGCCUCUAAAUUCAAGCUCUUGAUUACUCUUUGAUUUGUUCAGGACAAUGACUGAAUAUAAAAUACACACACACACACACAUCCCGAUUUGCCAUCCCAGUAUCACAAGCUAAUAACACGAUGUCAUAAAUUUUAACUUCUUCACAUUACAUUAUAUUAUUGGCACAGAAUAUCACAAGGGCAUAUACGAGCAUCUAUAGGCGAUAGCUAUUCAGCUACCAGUAGCUUUGGCUACAUCUUCCUGGAUUAAAGCGGUAAGCGGUAACGGCUGAUUCUCUCAUCUCUUCCAGAAGGGAUUGAUGACAAUUGCAGAUAAAAUAUCUUUGGUCUAAAAUAAUUUUAUUGUCAUUGUUAUAUUGUUAGACAAGGGAAAAACAACAAGCUAUGUCUUCAUCUCUUAGGGAUCACGAUAAGUUGAUUGUCCUUGUUGAAUUAGUAUUCCUCCAAUACCUAAAGUUUAAUACCUUUAACUUAAUUAAUUGUUGAACAGUUGUUUUAACCUUAAUUUUUUUUUCCAGGAAAAAUGUGGCUUUUGAAUUGAAGAAAUGCUGCCUCCUUACACAGUGACAUCUGAAAAUUUUCAUUAUUUUGUCUCCCUAACAUUACUAUUUGUCAAAAGGGAAGCGUAGAAAAUUAGAAAUCAAUCUCCUUUCAUAAAUUCAAGCCCCAAUGAAUGGUACACACCUUCCUUCCCUAAAAUUCCACACAUUUCCUGCCAAUCCUUUGUUCAAGAUGAUUGACCAAUCAGAUUUUUCGUAAUAAAGAUCAUAUAAAUGAGCUGAUAAUGAAAAAAUUUGACGAAGUCAUCGUUUUUAUAUUUCACUUUCAUUGUGAAUUGGCAACACUGACCUAAAAAAAUCUGAGUUUUGCACGAAUCAUAAUCAAACGUAAGAAAAUUGUGAAUAAAUUUAAUACAAGUAGGCCUGACAAUUUCUAACACGAUUUGAUAACCCGACACGACACGACACGAAAUUAACAGGUGUUCAGGUCGAUACGAUAACUAAUCGGAAUGUUAUUGGGUAACCCGAUAAGCACCUGUUAAGAUAACGGGUUGGUUCGGGUAUAUAUGUGGGUAACACGAUACACGAUAAUCAAAAUAUUAAUUUUAUAAUUUUAUAACCCUAAAAAAACCUAUAAUAAUUAUAUAUAUUAAAUUAAAUGUUAAAAAUUGGUGAUCAUUGGAUCGGCUUAAAUAUAUAUAUCAUUCAAUUUCUUAAGUGUUAUACGUACAAAAUAAAUAAAUUUAAAUCUACUUAAUAUAUAUAUAUACACACACACACACACCAUUGAACUUGAUGGGAUACAAAUUUUACGAAAUUAAUUUUAACGAUUCAACCAUCAAACUUGUUUGUAUAUGCUUUGAGAUUGCAUUAGCAAAAAUUGAAAAAAACAAACAUUCAGAGAUCAAGUAAUGGGACAAAACUUUUCGACGGUUAUCAACGAAAAAUCACAAUUUAACUGUUAUUUUAACUUCGAUUUUGAUGAUUUUUUACAGCUACACUCCUUGACCCUGAAUACAAUGAAUGAACUCGAUCUUCAAUUUAAAAUAUUUACACUAGUAGAUACCACAAAAUCUUAUGUUAUACUUAAUGAAAGUAUGCAUAAACUCUUAAAUGUUAGUGAAUAUAUUGUUUUAUGGGAUAUGCAUUCUACGAAAUUAGUUUCAACUAUCCAACCGUUAAACAUGUUUGUAACUUUGAGAUCGCAUACGCCAAAAAUUGCAAAAAACAAACAUUUAAAGAUCAAGUAACGGGACAAAACUUUUCGACGGAUAUAAACAAAAAAUCAUGAUUUAAUGGUUAUUUUAACUCCGAUUAUGAUGAUUUUUUUACAGCUACACUCCUUGGCCUUAUAUGAAUACAAUGAAUGAAUUCGAUCUUCAAUUUAAAAUAUUUACACUAGUGGAUACCACAAAAUCUUAUGUUAUAUUGAAUGAAAGUAUGAAUACACUCGUUAAAUGUUAGUGAAUAUAUCGUUUUGAUGGGAUAUGCAUUCUACGAAACUAAUUUCAACGAUCCAACCGUCAAACUUGUUUGUAUAUGCUUCAAGAUCGCAUACGCCAAAAAUUGCAAAAAACAAACAUUCAAAGAUCAAGUAACUGGACAAAACUUUUCAACGGUUAUCAACGAAAAAUCAUGAUUUAACGGUUAUUUUAACUUGAUUUUGAUGAUUUUUUAUAGCUACACUCCUUGACCCUAUAUGAAUACAAUGAAUGAACUCGAUCUUCAAUUUAAAAUAUUUACAUUAGUGGAUAUCACAAAAUCUUAUGUUAUACUUAAUGAAAGUAUGAAUAAACUCUUAAGUGUUAGUGAAUCUAUUGUUUUGAUGGGAUAUGCAUUCUACGAAACUAGUUUGAACGAUUCAACCUUCAAACAUGUUUGUAUAUACUUCAAGAUCACGUACGCCAAAAAUUGUAAAAAACAAACAUUCAAAGAUCAAGUAAUGAGACAAAACUUUUUGACAGUUAUCAACGAAAAAUCACGAUUUAACGGUUAUUUUAACUCUGAUUUUGAUGAUUUUUUACAACUACACUUCUUGACCCUAUAUGGAUACAAUGAAUGAACUCGAUCUUCAAUUUAAAAUAUGUACACUAGUGGAUACCCAAAAAUCUUAUGUUAUACUUAAUGAAAGUAUGAAUAAACUAUUAAGUGUUAGUGAAUCUAUCGUUUUGAUGGGAUACGCAUUUUACAAAACUAAUUUCAACGAUCCAACCGUCAAACUUGUUUGUAUAUGCUUCGAGAUUGCAUACGCCAAAACUCGCAAAAAAACAAACAUUCAGAGAUCAAGUAACAGGACAAAACUUUUUGACGGUUAUCAAAGAAAAAUUAGGAUUUAACGGUUAUUUUAACUCCGAUUUUGAUGAUUUUUUACAGUUACACACACUCCUUGACCCUAUAAGAAUACAAUGAAUGAACUCGAUCUACAAUUUAAAAUAUUUACAGUAGUGGAUACCACAAAAUCUUAUGUUAUACUUAAUGAAAGUAUGAAUAAACUCUUAAGUGUUAGUGAAUCUAUUGUUUUGAUGGGAUAUGCAUUCUACGAAACUAGUUUCAACGAUUAAACCGUCAAACAUGUUGGUAUAUACUUCAAGAUUGCAUACGCAAAAAAUUACAAAAAACAAACAUUCAGAGAUCAAGUAACGGGACAAAACUUUUCAACGGUUAUCAAUGAAAAAUCACAAUUUAACGGUUAUUUUAACUCCGAUUUUGGAUGAUUUUUUUACAGCUACACUCCUUGACCCUAUAUGAAUACAAUGAAUGAAUUCGAUCUUCAAUUUAAAAUAUUAUACUAGUGGAUACCACAAAAUCUUAUGUUAUACUUAAUGAAAGUAUGAAUAAACUCUUAAGUGUUAGUGAAUCUAUCAUUUUGAUGGGAUACACAUUCUAUGAAACUAAUUUCAAUGAUCCAAUUGUCAAACUUGUUUGUAUAUGCUUCAAGAUCGCAUAUGCCAAAAAUCGCAAAAAACAAACAUUCAGAGAUCAAGUAACGGGACAAAACUUUUCCACGGUUAUUAACGAAAAAUCACGAUUUAACCAGUGUUCUAAAAAUCGGCCUAGGCGGCGCCUAGGCGUUGGGCGGCGGAGCCCCGACUAUAUUUCGGCCAAAACGUUCACUUAAGGUGGGGAGGAUUUAGGCGGUCGCCUAGGCGCUCAUUAGGCAUUCUAGGCUGUGUUAGGCGGCAGUCAAGGCGGCUGCAAAUCCCAAACUCACUGCAACUCUCGCAGCAAAUCUGCGUCGUACGUAGAAGCAGAGCCUCAGCGAGCUUCUGAAGCUUGUCGUCUAUGAGCAGAUGAGGGCUCGCCGUCUAUGAGCAGAUGAAGGAAGAUAUAGUACGAAUAGAGAGAGAGAGCCUCAGCAGCGUGAGUUGCAGUCUUGCAGAUUUAGUUUUUAGCAUCUGAAAGGGCUAAUGAAGAAGAAGAAGUGAAAAGGUUUAAUGGGAAUGAUACUUUCACUUUUCGAUGGGUCAAAAUAUGGUUUUGAUUUGAGCUCCACCUUGGGGAAUGUAAGAGAGGUGGUGGAACCCGGUUUUUAAUUUUGAAACCAAGCAUUGGCACACUGCAUGGUUUUGUUAUUGGGGAAUGUUAGAGAGGUGGAGUGGAACCCGGUUUCUAAUUUUGAAACCACCCACUGACACAAUGCAUGGGCUUGUUAUCUUUUGAAAAGUUGGAGAUAUAAAUAAAUAUAUAUAUCUAUAUAUAUAUAUAUUAUAAAUGUUAUAUGAAUUAUUUAGAUAAUGAUUUUUUCUUAGACUAUCAUAUUAUAUACAUAAAAUAAGUAAUUAUAUAGUCAUAUAAUAUAUAAUAAAUCUAAAUCUGUCUAGGCGUUAGGCCUCAGCUCGUCACCUGACUAGUGCCUAACGUUUUUUAGAAUCAUCUUUUUGCAUUUUAUCAUUUUUUUAUAUUAUCUUAUCCUUGGAUUUCAUACAAGUAUAAUUUUUUGUAAGUGUCAAUAUGCACUUAUUUACAAGAUAUAUAAGAAAUUUACCUAAAUCCGCCUAGGCGCUAGGCGCUAGCCCGCCGCUCGACUAGCGCCUAGCGUUUUUUAAAACCUUGGAUUUAACGGUUAUUUUAACUCUGAUUUGAAUGAUUUUUUACAGCUAUACUCUUUGACCCUAUAUGAAUACAAUGAAUGAAUUUGAUCUUCAAUUUAAAAUAUUUACACUAGUGGAUACCACAAAAUCUUAUGUCAUGAUGAUUGAUGAAAAUUGAAGAUUUUGUAAAAGGAAUAACAUGCAAGCUUUGAGUUCCAUUGGCAAGGUUUAAACUUUUGAGAAAUGCUUCAUAACCUUGAAAACAAAAACUCUUUCAUUUUGCAUAUCCUUACCCAUUUAAUAUUUUGUAAUAAACUAGUAGUGUAUGGAUGUUUGUUUAUUAUGCUCUUAUUUUCGAGUGUAGAUGUACUACUUAAACGACAAAUGUGUUUUAAUGUUUUGAAGUAAUAUUUAUGUGGCAAUGUGUGGUAUGUGCAAAUUUGAGAAAAAAAAAAUAUUUUUCUUAACGGAUCAUAACGGGUCGGGUCUGUUAAGAUAACGAGUGUGACAUGACACGACUUGUUAAGAUAACAAGUGUUACACGAAAACGACACAAACACGACAAACAUGACCCAUUUGCCAGGCCUAAAUACAAGAACAAGAGUCCUGAUCUUCUAAGGUUUGAUUUUGAGGACUUGUGAGGACCAAAUGCAUAUUAGCUACAAAUUGUAUUAGUUUAGAUCCAAAAGUUUAAAUUUUUUGACAAGUUAAUAAAGCAAAACAAGAAAAUGAGUUUUCUAAUAGUUCAUGAAUUUUAAGUUGGUUUUGAUUAUUAAGUUGUCAAAUAUUUUAAGCCUUUGGAUCUAAAUAAUCUAGUGGCUAAUAUGCAUUGAGUCGUCAGAUCCUCAUUUUGAGAACCCUACAAGAGCAGGACUAUAAGAACAAUUCAUGCUCCAAAUGGUCAAUCAUCUUGGUCAAAUGGAAUUCGUGCAAAAUCAUCUUGAGCUGAAGAAAUUGCAUGUAGGGCAUCGCUGAAAGAUCGGGUUUCUUUCUGUCGGUAUCCAUAUUCAACGUCUCCACCAUAACUUUACGCAAAUGUAGGUGUUUAUAAGUUAAUGUUCUUGUGAAAUUGGUAAUAGUAUAUAUGAGAAUGAAGCCCAAAGGGAAUGGUUGGGGUGGCAGCUUUCAAGUGCUGCAAUACCAGCCAGUGCAGCCACCCAACUCCUUUAAUGAAGGUUUUUAGUUAUAAUAAGAACAUUGGAAUUGCAUGUUAGCGUCGAGAAAUAAUGUACUUGAAUGGCUGGCCACUUUCUCGAAUCUAGCUAGUGGAUGACCAUAGGCUGCAUUUUGCAGUUAGUAUUUGGCAAUGAUAUAUCGGUUUGUAUCGGAAAGUUAUAGGGUGUUACAGUUGAACUGAAUUAGAUCCUUUUUCAACUUCUAACUUCUCAUUAUUGUCAAUUUCUGGAAUCCAAACUUGUAUAGCUUCAAAAUUUGGAAUUCAAACUUGUGUAGUUUCAAAUGUAAGGGGGUACCUUCGUUAGACAAGCGACGACAUUGUUCAAGAAUCAAUCAGAAAUGUUGUGGUUAUAGGUCUCUUCUGGUUUCCCUUAAGCACUAGUCUAAUUGCUUUGAUACCAUUCCGAAGGAGGAGGUUGGACUUUAUUCUAUCGGAGUUCCACUUCCGGGCAAACCUUGUUUUAUGUCGGAGUAUGAAAAGUUGUGUCUUAUUGUGUGAUUAAAUGUAUGACAUAGAUGUGUCUGUAUUUUCUACUAUUUAUUUUUCGUUUGUUAAAAAAAUUCACUCAUACCAUCGAGUUUGUUUAGAAUCUAGUAAAUUUAGUUCUUUUGUAUGAUUAUAAUAUGUUUUUAACUUUAGAUCAAGCCCACCUUAUUUUCAAAUCCCGGUCCAUCGCGGGCUGUGUUCGUCUACUUUAUAGCAUACAAAAUAUCAUGAAUGAUGAAGCUUACGAUAACUGAUUUUGCUAAUUUAGUAUGAAAUUGGAUGCUACUCUGUUUAUAGUAUGAACGAUGAAAUUUACAAAUGUGGGUUACACUAGUUGAUUAUGCUAGUGUGUUUGUUCCUUUGCAGCCAAGUUAUUCUCAUCCUUGUAAAUUAGACUAGUGUAAUAUCUCUCAGUCAAAACAAAAUAUGUUGAUCCUUACAUAUGGUUGGCAUAUCAAUGGGACUGCUUGAAAGAUACUCUCAACGAUUCAAUUCCAACCACAAUGGCUCCAAAACUGUCCAACUCCUGUGUGUCGGGACUUGCUUUCGGGGUGCUCAUUUCACUAUGUGCCCCCUUUGACCAACCCUUUAUUGGAAACCUUCGGGCAAUGAUACGCAGUCCGUCCGAACCUUUUAUUGGAAACCUUCGGGCAAUAAUACGGAGUCUGUCCGAACCACUCACAAGAAAGGCUUCUCAUUGGUGGCCAGACCCCAUGCCAUUAUAUAAAUCUUCAUUAUCCAUGAAAGCUAUGCUUCCUAGGCUUACAUAGCCGAUAGAGAGUUUUGUGCUUGUUUAUCGAGCCAUGACAUACAGCUCUGGCCAUCUUUCAACAAGAUUAUAAACAUGGAUGGAACAGUUUCUUGUAGAGGACUGAUAGGAAACUGUAACGACCCAUCCCCAAAUAUUACGAAUUUUAUAAUUUUAAAAUGUGAAAUUACGAAAAUGCCCUUCGAGGCAAAUACGUUGACUUUUGUUGACUGUCUUGUCAUGUCACAUAAGAUCCAUUCCCUUGGUGUAUCCUCAUAGUACUCGUUGCUAAAAACUCGUGGGCGCAAACGGAAUGUAAUUUGGAGUUACAAUGAAAGAGUUAUUAACGAACGAAGUUGAGGGCAAAAUGGUCAUUUAACCAUAAAUCUGGAAGGCUCCAGAUUUUGUUGGAGCAUCAAUUUAGUGCCAUGUGUGUGGUUGUGAUCAAGGAAGAAAAUAUCGGUGAUAUCGGAAAUAUCGGUAGUCCGAAAACACGGAAAUAUCGAUGGAAAUAUCGGUAAAAUAUCGAUAUCGAUAAAAAUUACAUGGAAACCACGGAAAUUGUAAGAAAAACUUGGAAAUUUUUAUUGAAACUUUGUAGGAUGUUUAUUUAGUCAAUUAUCUAUUAGUUUAUCACAAAAAAUUGGAAGGAAAUGCAUUGCAUGAUGGAUUUAACAUUAUCAAGUUGAUUAUAUAGCGAUCUGACAAACAUUAUGAGUGUAGAAAAUAUGUAGUAAUUAAUGAAAGAAGUCUAAACACACCAUAAUCAUUUAUAUAUAAUGAAUUAGUACAAUAUUUUACACUUUAGAACCACAAUAUUGUAAAAGCUGCAUGAAAUUGUCUAAAUAAUUGUAAAACUAUUGAGUGAGUUUAUCCUCCUGACAGGAGGAACCCACACACAUCAUCACUGUCAAAAACACAUCGCACGCACACACAACGCACGCACGCAGACCACACCUCAGUCUCUCUCUCUCUCGAUCCUUCUCGUUCUCUCUUCUCCCUUCUCUUCUUCCAAACACACACACACACACAGAGCUCCUCAGUCUCUCCCUCUCUCGAUCAUCCUUCUCCAUCUCUCUUCUCCCUUCUCUUCUCCCACACACACACUCACACAGAGAGCUCCACAGGUUGACAUCGGAUCCAAGUCCAACACACGCACACACAGAGAUCGGACUCACAGAGAUCUCCGAUCUCUCUUCUGCCAAACACACACACAUGCACACAGAGAUCUCUCGAUCUCUCAUCUCCAUUCUCCGAUCUCUCUUCUCCCUUCUCCGAUCUCUCUUCUCCCAAACACCCACAUACAAAGAGAGAUCUCCGAUCUCUCUUCUCCCAAACACACACACACACAGAGAUCGCCGUUGAUCGUGGCUCAGGCGAAGUCAGAGGUGCGCCGCGGAGCAAGGAUCGUUCGUAUUCCGCUUCGUCAGGUGAGAUUCCAUGAAACCCUAAACCCUAAUCUCUCCGACUUCACCCUGCCUUGAAUCGUUUGUAUAUUUGUGAAAUCUGAUGUAUAUUUGUGAAAUUAAUGUUAAGAUUCGUGUUUUUGCAAGGUUUUUGGGACGAAACCGGCCCGGGAAUCGCCCCACCGUCUCCGGCGUUCUUCUCCGACGUCGCCUCGGAUUCCGAUUCCACCGUCCAUGGAUAUUUCGCCGAUAAUUUCCAAAUAUCGCGAUAUUUGGCCGAAAACCCCACGGAAACCAGUUAAAAUAUCGCCGACCGGAAAAAUCGAUAUUAUCGGCGAUAUUUCGCCGAUAAUAUCGAUAUUUAAAUCUGUGGUUGUGAUGGAAAGAAGAGGAGAGAAAUGAGAGGGGUGUUGCCCAAUCGGGAAUGAGGGAAUCUGGACCCGAAGGCCUCCAUGGUUUCCGACGCCUUUCACGGCGGAUUUUCGGCUAGUUGAAGCCACUCACCACCUGAGAAGCGUCAAAUCGAGAAAACCUAUUUCAAGGAUUUUCGACGGAUCAAUGGUGACUUGAGCUAUUUCCCGACUGAAUUGAACUUUGACCCAUGUAUGAAAGUUGUUCCUCUCAUUGAGAUCUUCAUUCCUGCAAAAUUUGGGAAUUUUUGGAGUUGUUGAAUUUUUCGGCAAGUCGUGGCUGCCAGUCGGCGGCGACGGUGGCGCGUGGCCUUCUGGGCCGCCGCUUCAUGGAGGUUUGCACGACGGCGCGUGGGGGGAAACCCGAGAUCCCUUCUUAGGUUUUUCAAUGUGCCGAAUCCGAAUUCGCUGUCCGUUUUCCCAAAUUCUAUCGUUUAUGUAUAGUUUUACUAAAUGGUUCCUAAUUGUGUUUAGAUGUGCGUUAAUAGGAAGCGACACCAUUCUCGCUAGUUCAAGCUGCUCUCGGGCAAUGGAAAACUUAUGAGUGGACCCCUUCUUAACUUGCAUGUUUUUAUAAAAUAUUAGGCUUGUAUUCACGAAAGACAUGAUUUCAUGAUUUUACGCUUUAUGCAUUAAUUAUGAUUUAUUCAAAUUGCUUUUAUGAAAUAUUUAUGAUUUAUCGAAAUUAUGUUUUACUAAAGGCUAUGAAUUAUUAGAUUCUCGUUUAUGAAGUUCUAGGGAUUUACGAAUAUGAUUUAUUUUACGGAUUUAUGAGUAUGUACUAUCUUGGAUUGAUGAAAUGAGACUUUGAGGUUUUGAGUUUUGGAUUUGGAUAUGAGUUUUUGAGAUAUGUUUUUGGUGCUUAUCUAGUGGGUUAUCAUACAACACAUCCACACAACACGGGUAUGUAGAUGUCUAUGGCCAUAGGGCACAAUUGAUGAUAUCUAUGUAUAUAUUUCUUCUCCUGUGUAACCCAGAGUCGUACAACUUCACCUUUGGAUGAUGGGGCCUACCAUGUUUCUUCAGUAGCGUAACCCAGUGUCGUACAACUUCAUCUUUGGGUGAUGGACAUGUAUUGCCUUCGGCCGAAUGAAGAGUUAAUGAUAUUGAUGACAUACCCCUAACUUCACUGAUGAAACUAUUGUCGAAUAGCUUCACUAGACACGGCUAGUGUCGGUGUGUGAUGUUAUAUAUAUUCUCUUCUCUGGCGUAACCCGGAGUCGUACAGCUUCACCUUCGAAUAUGUGACUAGGGCUCAACAUGAAUAAUGAUUAAGGAAGCAUGGCGAGAUGAAUAGGCAUGAGCAUCGUGUCUUAAUCACCAUGGCAUGACAUGUUUUUAAAUAUAUUCCUCGUUGAUCCCGUGCCUUGGCAUGUAUUUGGGCUUGAAUGUAGGCUUUGCAUGACAAUUGGUCUUUGAGACUUGGUUGGAUUGAUGUGUGACAUUUUUGGACCCCAACACUAUGUUAAGUUGCUACGAAAAAUUUCCCAAUUUCUCAGCUUUUAGUUAUGUUAGUUUAUAAUUGCAACAACUUUUUUGAGUGUUGUAGCAGAUAUGCAACUAUAAAGGCUUCUUUAGAAGUAUAACAGUUUGACUGUGGUUUCAGUCAUUAAGGGGGCCAAAUGCUUAGUGUUAUAUAGAUUGCACUUAUAAGACAAAUACUAUGCAUUGAUUCAUUCAUAUCUUGUUGGAUUUUCAUGUGUUUGUUAAUUUCAUGACAAUCUUGGGGAUAGUGUUUAAUUUGUAAAAUGUGAUUCCCUCUAAUUCUUCAUGGAUAUUAGCUCAUGACAGAAGUUUGUUUAUCAUGGAUUUUAAUGUUUUGAUCUCAUGGCCAUUAAGAGCAACUUUUUUUUAAUAUUCGGUUUCGAGUAUGUUGUAUACAAGUGUUGACUCUAGUGGGAAAAUGUAAGACUAUAUUAGAGUUCCACACUUGUAUGUAACGUCUCCUGUAGAUUAAGGAUUUCAUAGACUGAUUUCAAUAAUACUUGUACGCUAAUAAAGAGAGUGUAUUAUUAGGAUUUUAUAGGUAAAGCAAUCCUGAUACGAAUAGUAAACUUAAUCAAAUAUGAAUACUGAAGUUUAGGUGAUAAAGUCUCGUUCGAGUAGAAUUACAUGAUGGGAAGUUCCCUACUCGAAUUCCACCUCUUUUACUAUAUAACAACGGUCUUUGCUCUCACACUCGAUACACAGAAAUAACCCCUUCUAGGCUUAUUGAAUAGAGCUGUGAAAAGGUGAGUGAAAGAGAGUAGAAGAUCAUUUGUUUUUGCUAUGGAGUUGUCACGAAAUAAGGAGAGAUGCAGACACUCAGAAUAUUGCUCAACAGAGGUUCUAAUUCAGAUAAAUGUUUUUAGUUGAUUAUGAUUUUCCUUCUUACAAGAGUUAGUCCUUAUAUUAAAAUAACAUAAGACUUUAGGGGUAUGAUUUGGAAAAGACCUAUUGGAAAUUGUAAUUUCGUAGGUAGACAAUUGGUUUUAUGAAGUAAUACUAAUAGUAAAAUGUAAGUAAACAAACAUAGAAAAAAAGUCGAAGGUUGAAUAUAGCCAAUUCAAUGCAAGAGAAAAUAAUGUUACGGCAAUCUUUGACCCCCUACAAAGAGAGAAUCUUCCGUAGAGUUGCCACACUAUGAUUGGUGGGUGAGACCAAAUGCGGAGAGUGUUUUGUGUGUACGGGCAUAUGGUAGAGCUGCCACGCUAUUGUUGGUGGGUACGUGUGGGACAAAUGCGGAGAGAGUACUUUGUGUGUGCGGGAUAGUCGCAUGGUCUGGAUGUCCAUAAUGAAGUUUUUCUCCUUACGAUGAAUGGAUAAUUGUCUAUUGUUUUGUUUAUUCAGUUACGUGAUACCUUCUGUUGUAGGGUACUGAAGUGAGGAAACUCACGUUGUUGUUCUCCUCACGGCCAUAUGUGAUGUUUGGGUACAAAUUGUUUGGGUUCUGCAUAAAAGCAUACUUAACAAAAUUAAAGCGCAAAUCUAGUUGGACCAUUUUAGUACCCUAACUCUAACUGAACCAACCACGCAUCUUAGACCUGGUUUGGGAGUGAGGUGCUUAAAAAAAAAGCACCCAUGAAAAAAAGCUGUAAGAGUUUUAGGUGUUUGGUAAACUGAAAAAAAAAAGGCUUAUUUUGGAAGCUGCUGUGAGAAUAAGCUGAAAUCAAAGGAAAAAACUGAAGCUGCUAUUUGCAGCUUUGGAAAACUGGUUUUUUUUCAAAGCACACGGAGCUACAGUGCUCCUUUAAUGAAAAGACCCACUAUUAGACUGCUUUUUUUUCCAAAAGCACUUUUACAAAAAAGUUUACCAAACACUCUGCUGCUUUAUUUCACAGCCGCUUAUUCUCACAGCAGUUUUUUUUCAAAGCACAGCAAUAUCAAACCAGCCCUUAGUUUGCUCCAUUCCUUCAAGUUCGAGAUUUGUGUUACCAACUAAUGCAUCACAAUCUUUCCAAAAAAUAAAAAAAAUAAAAAAAACUAAUGCAUCACAAUAUAUAAGACAUUUUAUUCAAAGAUGAGGACGGACUACAAAGAAAUUCUUUCUUGCAUCCAUCUGCAGGAAACUUUAUUCAAGGUUGUCGUAAAAAAUACAUAAUUAAAGUGACAUGAUAAGUUCUACAAGCUUAUUCAAGAAUUUGUAGGAAGAACCACCUUUCCUCAAAGAAACUUCUAUUUUCUCUUUCAAAUCCUUGGCCCUAACCCGCAUCACUUCCCCAUCAACAUCUACCAUCAGUUUCCGGACAGCUCUCUCAAUCUCUCCUCUCUCUACCUCAUUGUCUAAAUGUAGCCCUACUUUCCAUACUUGGCCAACGUACCUUGAAUGCACCUUCUGAUCGCCAAAAGACGGCAGGCAUAUCAUUGGAAUCCCUUCGGACAAACUUUCUAGCGUUGAGUUCCAACCGCAGUGGCUCCAAAACCCUAUGAUUGCGCGAUGGGACAAAACUUCCCUCUGGGGUACCCAUUUUACAAUGCGACCACGUUCUCCAAUCGCUUCUAUGAAACCUUGAGGCAAUAGCUCAAUCCAAUCUGAACCAUUCACUGAGCCAGGUCUGAUUACCCAUAAGAAAGGCUGCUUGCUGUUAGCCAAUCCCCAAGCCAUUUCGGCAAGCUCUUUCUCACUGAUGGAUGCUACACUUCCCAAGCUUACAUAGAUAACCGCAUUGUUAGAUUGCUUAUCGAGCCACCCAAUGCAGCUUGUGUCCUCUUCUAGUAAGCUACUAGAAGCUGCAGCUUCAAUCUUGUGAAGAGGACCUAUGGAGAAGAUUGGAACUGGGCAUUGUUGCUGGAUCUGUGCUAGUGAUGAUUGCUCAAGACAAUCAGUAGUGUUCCAAACGAUUGCUGAUGCUGUCUUAACAUUGUGUGCAUUAACGACUAGUUCCGAGUACUUUUCUAAUGAGUCAAAGUUGUUGGUGGGCAGAUCCUUCAACCUGAGGGGAUCAAAAUCGGGCAGCGGCCUCAGUGACUGAGAGUCUGCAAUCCAACAGUUUUGUUUUCUUAGUUAUAUGCAAGAAAAACGAACAUAGAGUCUGUACUCUGAUUAAGAAAUAUAUAUGACACAUACCUGGGAAUGGGAUGUGACCUUUUGAAUGAAGCUGUAGUAGAGCAGUACGAGCUUGAAAAUUGGUAACGCUGGUAGUUCGUAACAUGAUGUUUGGGAUGUUUAGAUCCUUAGCUACAGCUUCAGUGAAGUACAUAAAGUCAUCAUAGAUAACGCAGGUGAUUUUGUUCUCGGGUUCCUGUUCCAUAACUUGAGUCAAGCGUUGUCGGAAACUCGCUUUGCAGUUGGCAUUUAUAGCCAGCAGAAUGGCUAUUGCAUUCCCAGAUGAGAUCUCUUCAGCUGUCAAGCCAUCUUGUAUUGGAAAGAAGGUGAAAUCCGGGUGGUUUGAAGGGUUGGGGGAGUUGAACUGGGUGUGAAUAACAGUGAUGGAAAAGCCCUUUGAGUGAAGGAAGGAACCCAGCUGAAGCAUUGGAUUUAUGUGACCUUGGUAUGGACAUGGGAAUAAGACCAACCUGGUACUCUGUGUUUUCUUUUCCAUCUCCAUUCUUCCCU